UACGUAGGGGGCGAGCGUUAUCCGGAUUUACUGGGUGUAAAGGGCGUGCAGCCGGGCUGACAAGUCAGAUGUGAAAUCCCGCGGCUCAACCGCGGAACUGCAUUUGAAACUGUCAGUCUUGAGUACCGGAGAGGUCAUCGGAAUUCCUAGUGUAGCGGUGAAAUGCGUAGAUAUUAGGAAGAACACCAGUGGCGAAGGCGGCUUUCUGGACUGAAACUGACGCUGAGGCACGAAAGCGUGGGGAGCGAACAGG
rnacentral:rRNA from 1 species